rnacentral:tRNA from 1 species
GUCGGGGUGGAGCAGCACGGUAGCUCGUCGGGCUCAUAACCCGAAGGUCGCAGGUUCAAAUCCUGUCCCCGCAACCA